GUAGGUGUAGAGGAUGGAAUCAGAAGUGGAAGUGAGUGAUUGAUACCAGUCACGGUGAGUGGCAUGUGUUGGAGGCUUGGAAAUAUGAUUCAUAUGAACUAUGUAAGUUUGCUUGGCGUUGGCUGAGAGCAGUAGUGAGAGGGUUGAGAAGAGGACGACAAGAGCAAGCAACCAAAGGUUUCCCCUGAAACCCAUUGUUAGAUUUUGAGGUGAGACCAGCAGCUACAAGUUCAUCCUUGUAUAUACAGCGGAAGGAUUACCGUCCCCUCCCGCUUUUUAGUAUUAAAUUUGGCAAGUUCACUGCGUCCCACGUUCACAUGUUGGGCAAGUUGAUUGUAUAAUUCUAUUGAUAUCUGGGCUUGAGCAAAUAUCAUAAGUUA
rnacentral:misc_RNA from 1 species